rnacentral:rRNA from 1 species
UACGUAGGUGGCAAGCGUUGUCCGGAUUCAUUGGGCGUAAAGAGCUCGUAGGCGGCCACUCAAGUCGAAUGUGAAACCUCGAGGCUUAACCUCGAGCCUGCAUUCGAUACUGGGCGGCUAGAGUCUGGUAGGGGGAUCUGGAAUUCCUGGCGUAGCGGUGGAAUGCGCAGAUAUCAGGAGGAACACCGGUGGCGAAGGCGAGUCCCUGGACAACACCUGACACUGAGGCACGAAAGCUAGGGGAGCAGACAGG